rnacentral:rRNA from 1 species
UACGGGGGGGGGCGAGCGUUGUUCGGAAUCACUGGGCGUAAAGGGCGCGUAGGCGGCCCGCACAAGUCUGCGGUGAAAACCCCCCGGCUUAACCGGGGGCCGGCCGUGGAAACUGUCGGGGCUGGAGGCUGGGAGAGGGGCAGCGGAAUUCCUGGUGUAGCGGUGGAAUGCGCAGAUAUCAGGAGGAACACCGGUGGCGAAGGCGGUUCUCUGGGCAUUACCUGACGCUGGAGGAGCGAAAGCAUGGGGGAGCGAACAGG